UCCUGGUUAACCCAGGCAGUCUCAUUAGAGUUCCCACCUUAAAUGUUGGCAACUAAUGAUAAGGGUUGCGCUCGUUGCGGGACUUAACCCAACACCUCACGGCACGAGCUGACGACAGCCAUGCAGCACCUGUGUAACGACCCUUUCGGGAGAUGACAUUUCUGCCACUGUCCGUUACAUGUCAAGUCUGGGUAAGGUUCUUCGCGUUGCAUCGAAUUAAACCACAUGCUCCACUGCUUGUGCGGGCCCCCGUCAAUUCUUUUGAGUUUCACCCUUGCGAGCGUACUCCUCAGGCGGUGUACUUAUCGCGUUAGCUUCGACACAGCUGGGGUUGAGACCAGCUACAUCAAGUACACAUAGUUUACAGCUAGGACUAC
rnacentral:misc_RNA from 1 species